rnacentral:lncRNA from 1 species
ACGGGGACAAAGGAGAACGAAGCUGCCGCGGCUAAAGUUAGAGGGGACGUUAGCAGAGGGCUUUUUCGCAGGACUCGGAGCAACAUUUCUUUAAGGGAUGUGUCACUCUCAGAUGCAAAAGAGGAAACAGCUGCCUCUUUCAGACAUCGAAUAAGAACCAACCCCAUCCAGAAACAAGACCAAAUUUUUGGGCUCCAUGAAAACCAAGAUGGCUACCUUUCUUGUAGCAUUGGUAUUUUCAGUCUUUAGUCACUGUCAUCACUGCUUGCUCAAGAGGAAAGAGCUUACAUCUGCAGAAGAGGAUUCUUGCCGUACAUUCAGCACACGAGUGCGCAGCUCCUCAGCAGACCCUUACGGCUUAGGGUGAAGAACUGCUGGUGGUGCGCGUGCUGUCCGCUGCCUACGAACAUCUGCUACUUCGCAGCGCCGGCGUGCUCAAGGAUUUGACCUGUUGGAGCAGGCUGCUCGGGGCCGGCGCCCAGGCGGCUUCUGAUCUCCAAGGAAGGAGGAGACUCCGCAGCCUGCCCGGGCUGCCCCAGCCACUGCUCCGUCACCCGCCUCGGGAGAGCGCUCCCUGAUGCCGGGCCGGGCCCUCCCGUGUCCGCGGUGCUGGGCAGCGCCGAGCAGGGCCGGGCCCUGUCCCUCUGCCCCUCGCGUUUCCUCCGGAGCCCCCCGGCGCGGCCCCCGGCCCCCUCGCUUUU